GCUACCACGACUCUCGAAUCUGUGGUAGAGCGUCCGACCGGUCUUCGUAAGGUCACAGGUUCGACUCCUGUUGGGACAACU